rnacentral:pre_miRNA from 1 species
CAAAAAAUAAACCCUAGGUUUCCGUGUCCAACGUUUGACUGUUUUUCUUAUAUAAAUUUUUUUUAUAAUUAGUAUUUUCAUUGUUGUUAGAUGAUAAAACAUGAUUAAUACUUUAUGCGUGUCUUAUCUUUUUAAUUUUUUUUAAAUAAGACGGAGGGUCAAACGUUGGACACAGAAACCCAGGGUUUGUCUUUUU